CAAAAGAUAAGUUUAAGUCCUAAUCCCUGGGAUCUGUGAAUGUAACGUUAUUUGAAAAUAAGGUAUUUGCAGACACUAAAUUUAAAAUAAAUAAAUAAAAAACUAGUCAAGUUAAAAGGAGGUCACACUGGAUUAGGGCAUUCUCUGAACUCAAUGACUCGUGUCCAUAUAAGGAGAGAGAGAUUUGAACACACAGAGAAAGCACACAGGAGAAAGAUUUGUGAAGACAGAGGCAGAAAUUGGAGCCAUCGUGCCACAAACCAAAGAAUGCCGGAGAUUGUAGGCAAAAAACAGACACCAGAAAAGUUCUGAAGAGGAAACAAUUUUGAAACCCAGAAGAGAACUGCAGUUUGCUGUGCUUUAGGUUUAGUUUGAAGAUGCACUUUUACUGUGAUGUCUACAUACAUAUUUUGGAAAGCUGGCUUUUGUCAUCAAAUAAUUUUUCUAAGAAAGGUUCAUGCAAGCUAUAUUCCCAAAUUCUUUCCUGUUCAAAUGUUUUUAUUGCCUUUAUAUUGGAGGAAAACAUGACUGGAUAUUAUGUUUGAGAUUCAUUUUCUUUUUAAUCAAUCUCUGUCAAUUUUUUGGGGAGGACCUGGAAUGUCAAGAGUAAGACUGGACUGUCCCCCCAUCCACCCUUUGAAAGUGACUUGCUUUGCUUUCUAAAUUUCUUCUUUUCACACUCCUCCUCUCUUUCCUCGCUUUUCUUCUAUUGCUUCUCUUUCUCUGCCUCCUUUUCUCUCUUAACGUUCUGUAGCCUAUCUAUUAAUACUACUCUAUGCUUAUCCUCAGAUUCAGGAAUAACUGUGCAAAUGUUCAAGAGGUUGUACUCUUUCCUAUAAAAUGACUUUUUAAGAAUGGUUUGGGAGGGGGGGUAGGUAUCUAGAAAUUAUGCGGAGUCAUGCCACAAAUGUUUUCUUUCUUUGUCACAAUUUUUUAGAGGUUGUUGACUUUCCCCUGCUUUCAUUUGUAUUAUUUCAUCAAACAUUAUUCUGCAUGUUUUUGUGAGGGUGUUUCUGGAGGAGGUUAACAUUUAAGUCCAUGGACUUUGGGUAAAGUAGAUUGCCUUGCUUAAUAUUGGAUAAGUCUCAUCCAGUGGACUGAAAGCAUGAAUAACACAAACAAAUGACCUCCCCCAAGCAAGAAGGACUUUUCCAGCAGAGGGUCUUUGGACUUAAACUGCAGCAUUGACUCUUCCCUGGAUCUCCAGCCUGAUAGCCCACUGUGCAGAUUUUGGACUUAACCUCCAUAAUCACAUAAGCCAAUGCCUCAAAACCUUUAUAUCUGUAUUUAUAUUUAUAUCUGUGUCAACAUACACACACACACACACACACACACACACACACACAUCCUAAUGGUUCUGGUUUACUGAAGAACCCUGACUAAUACAGAAUGCCUUAAUUACUUCAAAAAAAAUUCAUAAAUGAACACAGAAUUAGGGCAAACACAAUUUUGGAGGGGAAUGAGUGUGUAUGUGAGGGGAAAAGAAAAACAUAAAAAUGAAACAAAUCCUUAGCCAAGAAAAAAAAAUCGUCUUCCCUUUGUUAAAAGAAGAAUGCUAGGAAUUAAAAUUCAAGCUGUUUGUGUUCUUCUGAUUUCAUGUGUUUUGAUACCACUUAUUAUUUAGCCGUAGGUUUUGACAAUCCUUUUCCCACAGCAUGAUUCGACGUCUCAACUUAAACACCUAAGCUAGUUACUAGCAAAACGGAAUCUAGUUGUCAAUUUUGUAAUAGUCCUGCUCCAUAAUGAAAAAUAUAAAAAACGGGUUUCAUUUCUAGAGGCUACUUGGCAGCUUGCCUGAAAAAGACACUCUUAAUAUUUUCUUAGCCAAAUCUUUGUACAUUGCCAAUCCAGAUCACAUAUUGUGUGGGUCAUUCACCUUCACUCCUUCAUAAAAAUACCAUCUUGUCAGAAUAUCAUGUUCAUAAGUCCUGACCUUCAAGCUAAAAUUCAAAGUCAGUAGCAAAAGUUGGCUUCUGUUUUAUUUGUCUGUUGAAAAUUUUUAUAGAGGACAAAUGACCUCAGUUGCAGUAUAUUCUGUACUCACUGAGCCCUGUACACUCAAUCAUAAAUGAGAAGAUUUUGAUACCUUCCAGAAUGAUGAGCACUAAGAGUCUAAGUCACUUAUGUGCUUUUUGGAUGUAAUAAAGUCCUGCUUCUGAUUCUGUUUUUCAUCAUGAUUAUUGGAAGAUUACUUUCGUACUGUAAGACAGAUAUUAUGAAAAUAAAAUUAUUAUUUGACUACAUACAAUUCAUCAUAGAUUUUCCUGGCUUUAAAUGAUGUAAAUUUA
rnacentral:lncRNA from 1 species